UACAGAGGUCUCAAGCGUUGUUCGGAUUCAUUGGGCGUAAAGGGUGCGUAGGUGGCGCCGUAAGUCAGGUGUGAAAUUUCGGAGCUUAACUCCGAAACUGCAUUUGAUACUGCGGUGCUUGAGGACUGGAGAGGAGACUGGAAUUCACGGUGUAGCAGUGAAAUGCGUAGAGAUCGUGAGGAAGACCAGUGGCGAAGGCGGGUCUCUGGACAGUUCCUGACACUGAGGCACGAAGGCCCAGGGGAGCAAAACGGGG
rnacentral:rRNA from 1 species